rnacentral:rRNA from 1 species
UACGUAGGGGGCAAGCGUUGUCCGGAUUUAUUGGGCGUAAAGAGCGUGUAGGCGGCCAUACAGGUCAGCUGUGAAAACUCGAGGCUCAACCUCGAGACGUCGGUUGAAACCGUAUGGCUAGAGUCCGGAAGAGGAGAGUGGAAUUCCCGGUGUAGCGGUGAAGUGCGCAGAUAUCGGGAAGAACACCCGUGGCGAAGGCGGCUCUCUGG